rnacentral:rRNA from 1 species
UACGUAGGGCGCGAGCGUUUGUCCGGAAUUAUUGGGCGUAAAGAGCUCGUAGGCGGCCUGUUGCGUCUGCUGUGAAAUCCCGGGGCUUAACCCCGGGCGUGCAGUGGGUACGGGCAGACUAGAGUGCGGUAGGGGAGACUGGAAUUCCUGGUGUAGCGGUGAAAUGCGCAGAUAUCAGGAGGAACACCGGUGGCGAAGGCGGGUCUCUGGGCCGUAACUGACGCUGGAGGAGCGAAAGCGUGGGGAGCAAACAGG